rnacentral:rRNA from 1 species
UCGGAGUGCUUGCACUCUGUGAAACAAGAUACAGGCUAGCGGCGGACGGGUGAGUAACACGUGGGUAACCUGCCCAAGAGAUCGGGAUAACACCUGGAAACAGAUGCUAAUACCGGAUAACAACAGAUGAUGCCUAUCAACUGUUUAAAAGAUGGUUCUGCUAUCACUCUUGGAUGGACCUGCGGUGCAUUAGCUAGUUGGUAGGGUAACGGCCUACCAAGGCGAUGAUGCAUAGCCGAGUUGAGAGACUGAUCGGCCACAUUGGGACUGAGACACGGCCCAAACUCCUACGGGAGGCAGCAGUAGGGAAUCUUCCACAAUGGACGCAAGUCUGAUGGAGCAACGCCGCGUGAGUGAAGAAGGGUUUCGGCUCGUAAAGCUCUGUUGUUGGUGAAGAAGGACAGGGGUAGUAACUGACCUUUGUUUGACGGUAAUCAAUUAGAAAGUCACGGCUAACUACGUGCCAGCAGCCGCGGUAAUACGUAGGUGGCAAGCGUUGUCCGGAUUUAUUGGGCGUAAAGCGAGUGCAGGCGGCUCGAUAAGUCUGAUGUGAAAGCCUUCGGCUCAACCGGAGAAUUGCAUCAGAAACUGUCGAGCUUGAGUACAGAAGAGGAGAGUGGAACUCCAUGUGUAGCGGUGAAAUGCGUAGAUAUAUGGAAGAACACCGGUGGCGAAGGCGGCUCUCUGGUCUGUUACUGACGCUGAGGCUCGAAAGCAUG